UGGGGAGUCCUAAAUGUUUUGAGUUGAUGUAAGUUAAUGGAAUAAUUGAGUGAGUUGUUCGUAAUGUUGAAAUAGUUGCUCUUGCCUACGUCUUCUCUAUCAAACCGCAAGUCUCUAUCACAGUCAGGAGACCUCUAGACGACCUCAUAUUGACCAAUCAGCAUGCUUAAAUGUCACGUGACAUAUUCACGUAAACUUGAAUAUAUUGAAUAGCUCUCUCUCUCCCUCUCUUAGUUACAAGUAAGCAAGCUGAAACUUAUAGAAAUAAUUUUCACUACUUUUUACAUUUGUAGGUGAAAGACUUGAAAUAAGAAAUUCUGGCUCGCAACGUUACGCCUGCUGCUCACUUGUACGUUGUUGGCAGCUUGAGCAGCAAGGUCUACAGCUCUCGUGUGCAUUAUGAAUUGUAACUCAAUGGUUUGAGAGCAGUUGUUCCGUCUGGUCUUCUCUUCUUCGUGGUGGCAUGCAGUACAGAAACGGUUCUAUCACUGUUCCCAACGAUGGACUUUACUACGUUUACGGACAAAUGUACUAUCGCCAUUCUAGCUCAAGUUACCUCAAUGCUGGCUUUCGCAUGAGAGUGAAUGGGGUCGAUCGUGCCUUUGCUUAUCGGGUUACUAAUGAUGCCAAUGGUCUUCACACUCAUUACUUAGGACGCAUCAUUCAUCUGAACAAGGGAGACGAACUGUCAUUAACAUUCGAAUACAACAGUUACUACCGUUUUUCUAACGAGCGAGCAUUAUUUGGUGCGUUUCUAGUGAACUGAUUACAAGAGUAGAAAUACAGCAUGUGUUAGAGAUGGAAAUGAAAUUGUCUGCAUUUUGUCAAAAAUUCAAUAUGUUUGUAAUCUAAAAAUUCGUUCUU